UGGGUCGAUUAUAUAGAAGAGAAUAAAUAAAAAAAGUUAAAGCACUACAAUAGAAUUAGGUUAUAGCGACACAUGUUUGGAAUAUUUUUGUCUAAGUGUCCCAUUUAUGCAAAAAUUAAAAAAAAUAUCUACUAAUGUCUAAAUAUAAAGCCGAAUCCAAAAAAAAAUAAAAAGUUACUCUACUCAACCCACCCAACCCAGCCCAUUUGGCCUGAUUACAAACAGAAAAGAAAAAACAAAGAAAAAUCGAUUACCAUCUCCCUUUCUCCUCUUUCUCAUUCCACUGAAAUCCUAGACGAAUGGCCCUUCCCUCUCGUCCUCCUCCGUCACCGCAGCCAACAAGGUAGAGUUUCGGCGGUUGCUAGAUACUUAAAUAAGUGUUACUAAAUUAGCAGCACUCUUUUUAGGUUAUAGCGACACUCUUUAACUAUCACUAUAUACCUAGCGACCCCACAUAUAGCAACACUUUUUAAAAGUGUCGGUAAUUUAGCCAACAGCACUUUUUUUGACCUGUACCGAUAUUUAAAAGUGUCGCUAUAGACCGUUUUUUUUGUAGUGAAGAAAGAAGAAACAAUAUAAACAUUUUUAAAAAAAAAAACUAAAGAAUUUAAAAAGAAAAAGUAAAAGUAGAAGAAGAUGAAGAAUAAGUAGCAACAGUAACUGGUGCAUUUAAAAAAGUAUAAGUAUAAAACCAAAGAAAGGAUAAAAGAAGAAAAAAAAAUUCAAAAACAUAAGAAUAAUAAACCAUAUUUAUAGCAGCUGUAAAAGUAGAAAAAGAAUAAAAGUAUAAGAAUAAGUAGCAGUAGUAACCGGUACAUUAGUAUAAUAACAAAACCAUAAAAAGGAUAAAAAAAAAAAAAGAAUAAAGAUAAAAUCAUAAGAAUAAUCAAUUAUAUGUAUAGCAGUAGUAAAAUUAGAAGAAGAAUAAAAGUAUAAGAAUACGUAGCGGCAAUAACUGCAUUACAACAAAAAUGGUCUAUAGCGACACUUUUAAAUAUCGGUACAGGUCAAAAAAAGUGCUGCUGGCUAAAUUACCGACACUUUUAAAAAGUGUUGCUAUAUGUGGGGUCGCUAGGUAUAUAGUGACAGUUAAAGAGUGUCGCUAUAACCUAAAAAAGUGCUGCUAAUUUACCAAUAUUUAUUUAAGCAUUUAGUAGCCGCCGGAACUCUACCUCGUUGGCUGCGGUGGCGGAGGAGGAUGAGAGGAAGGGAUCUUCGUAUAGGAUUUCAGUCGAUUGAGUAAGGGGAGAAGGAGAAAUGGUAAUCGAUUUUUCUUUUCUUUUUCUUUUCUGUUUGUAAUCAGGCUGAAUGGGUUGGGUGGGGUGGGUUGAGUAGAGUAAUCUUUUAUUUUUGGUUGGAUUUGAUUUUAUAUUUAGGCAUUAGUAGAUUUUUUUAAAAGUUUUGGCAUAAAUUGGAUACUUACACAAAAGUGUCCCAAAUAUGUGUCCCUAUAAUCUAAUUCUGUUGUAGUGCUGGUGCAAUAAAAGUAUAAAAAUAAAACCACAAGGGGAUAAAAGAAGACUAAAGACAAAUCCAUAAAAAUAAUAAAUUAUAUUUAUAGUAGCAGUAAAGAUAUAAGAAAAAUAAAAGAAGCCAAAGAAAAAGAAUCUGCAUGAAGAACAGUAGUAAUAAAAUUAUUAGAAUAAAAA
rnacentral:lncRNA from 1 species